rnacentral:rRNA from 1 species
GACAGAGGGUGCAAACGUUGUUCGGAAUUACUGGGCGUAAAGCGCGCGUAGGCGGCAUGACAAGUCGGAUGUGAAAGCCCCUGGCUCAACUGGGGAAGUGCACCCGAAACUGAGUGGCUUGAGUACUAAAGAGGGUCGCGGAAUUCCCGGUGUAGAGGUGAAAUUCGUAGAUAUCGGGAGGAACACCGGUGGCGAAGGCGGCGACCUGGGUAGAUACUGACGCUGAGGCGCGAAAGCGUGGGGAGCAAACAGG